AUUGAACGCUGGCGGCAGGCUUAACACAUGCAAGUCGAGCGGAGUGAUGGUGCUUGCACUAUCACUUAGCGGCGGACGGGUGAGUAAUGCUUAGGAAUCUGCCUAUUAGUGGGGGACAACAUCUCGAAAGGGAUGCUAAUACCGCAUACGUCCUACGGGAGAAAGCAGGGGAUCACUUGUGACCUUGCGCUAAUAGAUGAGCCUAAGUCGGAUUAGCUGGUUGGUGGGGUAAAGGCCUACCAAGGCGACGAUCUGUAGCGGGUCUGGGAGGAUGAUCCGCCACACUGGGACGGAGACACGGCCCAGACUCCUACGGGAGGCAGCAGUGGGGAAUAUUGGACAAUGGGGGGAACCCUGAUCCAGCCAUGCCGCGUGUGUGAAGAAGGCCUUAUGGUUGUAAAGCACUUUAAGCGAGGAGGAGGCUCUUUUGGUUAAUACCCAAGAUGAGUGGACGUUACUCGCAGAAUAAGCACCGGCUAACUCUGUGUCAGCCGCCGCGGUAA
rnacentral:rRNA from 1 species